AGUGUCUUUUGGUAGAGCACCAUUUGAGGUCAGAUGAGUAAGGUUUACCUGCACAUAACCAGCAAUGUUUCAAAAAUUCAAAAACCAGCAUAUACUCUCCCCACCCCCCACAGCAGAGUCAGGCAAUCACUCUUUCUCAUGAGCAUGUGUGAGUGUAUAGUUAAAAACUAGCCUACAGCAUCAUCUGCUGUUAAAAACUAAGCACAGAACAGAUUACAGCGAGAAUUGCAAUGCCUUUCGAAAAUUCAUCUAUUUAUUGCCCUAACCCUAGUGUAUGAUAUUGGAAUGUAGCAAAUAUUUUGCUGUUGUCUUUCAGCUGUGCUAAACCUCUGUUGCUUCAGUUUCUGGCUCAUGUGAGGCACGAGCAGGCCGAGUCUCUUUCUGCAGCUCUGGAUGAAGAGCUGGACCUCAGUCAGACUCCGCUGGACCUGCAGACCUGUAGAGGUUUGGCACUGAUUCUGGAAUAUUCUGAAGGAGUGACUGAACUAAAUCUGAGUCAGUGUCAUCUCACCGAUCACAGCCUGGAUCUGCUGCUCCCAAACCUCCACAAAGCACAAAACAUCGACUUUAGUGGGAAUAGCAUCACUGAUGUCGGGGCUCAGAAAAUCUACAGUGUCGUCUCUCACAACAGUAACAUAAAGACAGUGAGGCUCUUCAACAACAGAAUUGAAUCCAAAGAGCUCCUCAGAGCCGCACAGUUUGAGGUCUGGUGAUGCCAAUAAACUAUUAUAUAUGAAACGAAUAUCAACAAGCAUAAUGAUAAUAAGGUAAAAACCAUGUCCCAAAGGUGAAUCUAGUCACCAGAUCAUAAACUGCAUUCAUCUUUUAUCAUCACCUUAAGUAAUGAUCAACAAUAGGUUUGUUAUAUUAAGUCUGUUUUAUUAACUGACAGUGUCUUUCCGCUGCUUUAUAUUAUGUCAAGCAGGGUAAUUACAGAUUGAAUUUAGCUUUAUUUUAUUUUAUAUAAACACACAUUUUGUUAGGUUUCACAAUCAUCAUUGCUAUAUUUUAUUUUGUGUACUGUCUGUUCUGACUGGUGUGUCAUAUUUAACAUAUUUAACAGGUUAAAGAUUUCAGCUCAGACAGCCAAAGCAAACAGCUCCAAGUCUUUAAAAGAGAGCUUAUUUAAAUACUUUAUUCAGUGUAAAAAUGCCGUUAUGUUUCACUGGAUGUGGAUCCUGAAUUAACUACAUUCAUGUUUUGUUUACAAAUGCCAACAGUUUUAGAUGUAAACUGUUUACAGGUGAUGUUAACCUGACACUUCUAUAAUGACCUCAUUUACAUGCACAUUCAUUUCUGAUUAAGGUCCAUAAUUUCUUUUAUUCUGCCUUUAUUAGUGAUCCACAAACUAUUGAAGUAUUCAUGUUUUACUGCCUGAACUCUCUGAGUGGUCAAUGCUGACAAAAUACAAGAGGCAAAAUACUCAGGAAAUCACUUUUACCUCAUUAAUGUGACUGAAAUGAUAGUUACUGCAGGUCAGACUUCUGUUUUUAUCACCUCAUUACAUUUUUUUUUAUUAUAUUGUUGCUUAGUUUUGUGUUUUUAAACUUUUUAAAAACUACUUAACAGCGUUUUUGAUUUGAUUUAUGAAGUGGUCGAGAUGCACAUUAUAGGGAAGAAAAGGGCCACCAGAGUAUUUUAAACAGAGGUACUGAGGAGAUGUUACAUAUUACUGAUGGGGAGCUGGGCCGAACUAAUAAAUAUAAGCAAAACAGGUACUUUCCGCUUGAUUUAUUUUUAUUGUUUAUCAUAAUAAUUUUGUUCACCACAAUCUAAUCCAGGUUUUUCAUUUAUGUAAUUAACAAACAGCAAGCAAGUUGCUGUACUUGUGUUGUGCUGUUUACAUUGUUACAUUUGCAUUGUGUGCUUCGCUGGGCGUUUAAUUAAAAUAAAAUGUGAAACUAGA